GACGAACGCUGGCGGCGUGCUUAACACAUGCAAGUCGAACGGUGAUCUUGAGAGCUUGCUCUUGGGUGAUCAGUGGCGAACGGGUGAGUAACACGUGAGUAACCUGCCCCUGACUCUGGAAUAACUUCGGGAAACCGAAGCUAAUACCGGAUAUGACACAGAGCCGCAUGGUUUCUGUGUGGAAAGUUUUUCGGUUGGGGAUGGACUCGCGGCCUAUCAGCUUGUUGGUGAGGUAAUGGCUCACCAAGGCGACGACGGGUAGCCGGCCUGAGAGGGCGACCGGCCACACUGGGACUGAGACACGGCCCAGACUCCUACGGGAGGCAGCAGUGGGGAAUAUUGCACAAUGGGCGAAAGCCUGAUGCAGCGACGCCGCGUGAGGGAUGAAGGCCUUCGGUUGUAACCUCUUCAGUAGGAAGAAGACGCAAGUGACGGUACCGUACAGAAGAAGACACCGGCGUAACUACGUGCCAGCAGCCGCGGUAAACGUAGA
rnacentral:rRNA from 1 species